AGCGAACGCUGGCGGCAGGCCUAACACAUGCAAGUCGAACGAACCUUUCGGGGUUAGUGGCGGACGGGUGAGUAACACGUGGGAACGUGCCUUUAGGUUCGGAAUAACUCAGGGAAACUUGUGCUAAUACCGAAUGUGCCCUUCGGGGGAAAGAUUAAUCGCCUUUAGAGCGGCCCGCGUCUGAUUAGCUAGUUGGUUGAGGUAAUGGCUCACCAAGGCGACGAUCAGUAGCUGGUCUGAGAGGAUGAUCAGCCACAUUGGGACUGAGACACGGCCCAAACUCCUACGGGAGGCAGCAGUGGGGAAUCUUGCGCAAUGGGCGAAAGCCUGACGCAGCCAUGCCGCGUGAAUGAUGAAGGUAUUAGGAUUGUAAAAUUCUUUCACCGGGGACGAUAAUGACGGUACCCGGAGAAGAAGCCCCGGCUAACUUCGU
rnacentral:rRNA from 1 species